AGGUCAAAGGUUACCAAGGGAAACGUACAAAACACAUUACAGAGGGCACGGCUAAAUAAACACUAGAAUCGAUUUCUGAAACUUAAUUAAUGCCCUGGGGGGGAUUCUGUCUCAGACGCAGGGUGGUAAACAGAGCGGAACAAACAACAGCCUCAUCUAUCCCCAGAAGCUGCGGUUGCCUCACAACCUGACCACACCUGAGAAGAGAGAGACCUGAUCCCCUGUCCAAUCACGACUGCCUAGACAACCUAGAAGUUCAAUGAGCAACGUCAGGCAGAUGCUUUUACCCAAAGUGGCAUACAAUAGAGAAGAUUGGGUCAAACAGCUCAGGGGCCCAAUGGCGAAAUUACUCUGCUGAUCCUGGGAUUCGAACAGGCAACCUUGCGAUCACGCGUAUAACAUCCUAACCCAUUAGGCUACAUGCCACUCCCAUUUGCACAUUGACAUUACCUGAUAAAGUGGAGAUGUUAGUUUAAAAUAAUGUGCUGAGCAUUUAGCCCAAAGACAAAGACGUUUACCAUACUGCCAUUUAUAUUUCAUGGACCAGGAAGUCGUUACCCAUUCUAAUCAGUGCACACAGUCGUCGCUUGUUGACAUUAGCUGUCCAGUUAAGUUCACUCUCCUGCUUUGCUGUUCACUCUGCUAUGGAGCACCAGAGCAGACGUACAUGGUAAAAUGAGUCCGAAAAUGAGCAACAGCAAUACAAAUUCUGCAGAAUAAAACACCAAACUGUGACAUUCUACA